UACGUAGGGGGCAAGCGUUGUCCGGAUUUAUUGGGCGUAAAGAGCGUGUAGGCGGCCAUGUAGGUCCGUUGUGAAAACUCGAGGCUACAACCUCGAGACGCCGAUGGAAACCAUGUGGCUAGAGUCCGGAAGAGGAGAGUGGAAUUCCUGGUGUAGCGGUGAAAUGCGUAGAUAUCGUAAGGAAGACCAGUGGCGAAGGCGGGUCUCUGGACAGUUCCUGACGCUGAGGACGAAGGUCAGGGGAGCAAACCGGGG
rnacentral:rRNA from 1 species